rnacentral:rRNA from 1 species
UCGGGUUGUAAAGCACUUUGUCCGGAAAGAAAACUUCUGCCCUAAUACGGUGGGAGGAUGACGGUACCGGAAGAAUAAGCACCGGCAACUACGUGCCAGCAGCCGCGGUAAUACGUAGGGUGCGAGCGUUAAUCGGAAUUACUGGGCGUAAAGCGUGCGCAGGCGGUUCGUUAAGACAGAUGUGAAAUCCCCGGGCUUAACCUGGGAACUGCAUUUGUGACUGGCGAGCUAGAGUAUGGCAGAGGGGGGUAGAAUUCCACGUGUAGCAGUGAAAUGCGUAGAGAUGUGGAGGAAUACCGAUGGCGAAGGCAGCCCCCUGGGCCAAUACUGACGCUCAUGCACGAAAGCGUGGGGAGCAAACAGGAUUAGAUACCCUGGUAGUCCACGCCCUAAACGAUGUCAACUAGUUGUUGGGUCUUCAUUGACUUAGUAACGUAGCUAACGCGUGAAGUUGACCGCCUGGGGAGUACGGUCGCAAGAUUAAAACUCAAAGGAAUUGACGGGGACCCGCACAAGCGGUGGAUGAUGUGGAUUAAUUCGAUGCAACGCGAAAAACCUUACCUACCCUUGACAUGGUCGGAACCCUGCUG